rnacentral:rRNA from 1 species
UAAGACGUAGGGGGCGAGCGUUGUCCGGAUUUAUUGGGCGUAAAGAGCUCGUAGGCGGCUCAAAAAGUUGGGUGUGAAACCUCCAGGCUCAACCUGGAGACGCCACCCAAGACUGUUGUGGCUAGAGUCCGGUAGGGGAACACGGAAUUCCCGGUGUAGCGGUGAAAUGCUUAGAUAUCGGGAGGAACACCAGUGGCGAAGGCGGUGUUCUGGGCCGGAACUGACGCUGAGGAGCGAAAGCGUGGGUAGCAAACAGGAUUAGAUACCCUGGUAGUCCACGCCGUAAACGUUGGGCACUAGGUGUGGGGACCUAUCGACGGUUUCCGUGCCGUAGCUAACGCAUUAAGUGCCCCGCCUGGGGAGUACGGCCGCAAGGCUA